rnacentral:rRNA from 1 species
GUCUACAGACAUGCCACCCUGAACAAGCCCGAUCUCGUCUGAUCUCGGAAGCUAAGCAAGGUCAGGCCUGGUUAGUACUUGGAUGGGAGACCACCUAGGAAGACCAGGUGCUGUCGGCA